CCAGGCCCCCUGGAUGGAAGAGCCCCAGGGCUCAUACCUAGACUCUCCAUUGCCUAAAAGAAUACCCGAAUUAUCUGUGUUACCGAAUAGAAUCAUAAAUUCUAUUAUGCUUAUUGAGGUAUGACCACAGGCCUAUUGAUAACUGUCCACUGUUUACUACCAAGGCUUAAAGCAUAUGAAUCACAGGGUCCAUAUACUGUUGUCCUAACCAGCCUGACUGCAGUGAAAGUUGCAGGUGUCACCCCCUGGACCCUCCGCAUGAGGGUGAAGAGGGCACACCAUGCAGACUGGAGGACGCCGAGGGCACGACACAGAGGGACCCACUGACCCCCGCGAAACCAAGAUCAUCUUAACGAAGAAACAGAGGUGAAGCUCUACAGCCAGCUGCUGCUACAAGGACUUGCUGGCAUCAUCUCGAGACUAACCAUAGUUCCAGUACAAAGAGGGACCUGCGCUAUAAUUAAGGUGAACGUUGUGUAGAUAUUCCUGAUUUACCUGGCAGUAUGUCAGCCACCCUAGAUGACAUGAAAGGUCAGGUAAAAGCUAUGACUGAUGAUAAUAUUCCUUUUUGGACUUCGGUCCUAUCUUGGGUGAAGGGUGAUUGGUGGAAAACGGUAUUUACCAUUGUUAUAGUUGCCUUGAUAGUUCUGCUUUGUGGACCCUUUAUUUUUACAAUGUGUUAAGAACUUUGUAACCCAAAGGUUGAUGUCUUUCUCCCAAAUUGGAGAUCGGAGAGUGCAAUCUAUCCCUAUGAAUGAUGCUUAUACUAUGAGUUAAGAGCAUCAAGAGGGGGAAUGAAGGAGGAAACAGACAGAACAGGCUCCAUCUUGAAAGCAGGACUCCAUCUUGGGCCGGCCUGUGGACUUUGAGUUAUAUUCCCAGUAUCUAUGGAAACG
ensembl:lncRNA